rnacentral:sRNA from 1 species
ACCUAAACCUGAUCGGAGUGGUUCUGAUCCUUCAUCAGAAAAAACGCAGAGCAGGAUGAUUU